UUCAAAAGAAACAACUAAUCAGUUGCUUGCAUUUUCUGUUGUACUGUUACUCAGAUUCGUUGAUGAAGGUCUACUAUCAGUUUUUAAGGUGCUGAGCUGUGAGGAGAGUAUCAGGGUUUAGGCUCUGCUGCCUUUCCCCGAAGAACUCACUUGGGAAGCAGUCAGCGAGGCUGUUGGAAGAUAAAAGGGGAAGGAGGAAUUUCUGGGCCUUGGUGGCUGUGAGGACCUGCAAGUGAUGCUGAAAGAGAUCUUCCAGCUGGCCUGGGGCCCUGGUGGAGACUGAAUAUGGAACGAGAGGCAGGUUUUGUGGGUAGACAAUGGCGUCCAUGAGAACUACUGAGUAGAUAGGAAGAAAGAUGGGUCUGAAGCUUAGGAGAGAAGUGGGGAUG